rnacentral:rRNA from 1 species
UGGGGAAUAUUGCACAAUGGACGGAAGUCUGAUGCAGCAACGCCGCGUGCGGGAUGACGGCCUUCGGGUUGUAAACCGCUUUUUCUCAUGACGCAGUUUUUUGACGGUAGUGGGGGAAGAAGCACCGGCUAACUACGUGCCAGCAGCCGCGGUGAUACGUAGGGUGCGAGCGUUGUCCGGAAUUAUUGGGCGUAAAGAGCUUGUAGGCGGUUUGUCGCGUCGAUAGUGCAAACUCAGUGCUUAACGCUGAGCCUGCUGUUGAUACGGGCAGACUAGAGGAAGGUAGGGGGGAAUGGAAUUCCCGGUGGAGCGGUGGAAUGCGCAGAUAUCGGGAGGAACACCGGUGGCGAAGGCGGUUCUCUGGGCCUUUCCUGACGCUGAGAAGCGAAAGCGUGGGGAGCGAACAGG